UCCGAGUUGUCCCCGGCAGUCUCCUUAGAGUCCCCGCCAUUACGCGCUGGCAACAUGGAACGAGGGUUGCGCUCGUUGCGGGACUUAACCCAACAUCUCACGACACGAGCUGACGACAACCAUGCACCACCUGUGAACCGGCCCCAAAGGGGAAACCACAUUUCUGCGGCGGUCCGGUCCAUGUCAAGCCUUGGUAAGGUUCUUCGCGUUGCCUCGAAUUAAGCAACAUGCUCCGCCGCUUGUGCGGGCCCCCGUCAAUUCCUUUGAGUUUUAGCCUUGCGGCCGUACUCCCCAGGCGGGGCACUUAAUGCGUUAGCUACGGCACGGAACCCGUUGACGGGGUCCCACACCUAGUGCCCAACGUUUACGGCGUGGACUAC
rnacentral:misc_RNA from 1 species